rnacentral:SRP_RNA from 1 species
CGUGGUCCCGUCGACCCGGAAACGUGAACCCCGCCAGGCCCGAGAGGGAGCAACGGUAGCGCGGAAGGGUGUGGCGGGGCCUUUCCC